CCCAGCGAGAAGCAAGCAAGUAGUGCGGAAGGGAAGCAGUGAAGGAAGGGACUUUCUAGCCCUGCCUGUCCGUGGCAAGGCGGAGAGAGAUGAAAUUGCUUCCUGCCUGCUCUUGCUUUGCUUUGCUGCUGUCGCCGAUUGCAUUGGCUCUGCCAGUUUAACACCGGCUUCAUCUGCCUGUGAGGACCGCUUCUCCUCCUAGAAAGAAACUGCAUGGCUUCUAAUGUGAGCCUGAAUCUGGCUAAAGAAACAUUGUUGGAGGAUGGAAUGCCACCUGCAAAAAAACCCAGGAAAUUAUUGCCGAGCCUGAAAACCAAGAAGCCGCAGGAGCUGGUGCUGGUGAUUGGGACGGGCAUAAGUGCGGCGGUAGCUCCUCAAGUGCCGGCCCUGAAGUCUUGGAAAGGGUUAAUCCAGGCCCUGCUGGACGCUGCGAUCGACUUUGACCUCCUUGAAGACGAGGAGAGGAAAAAGUUCCAGAAGUGUCUCCGCGAAGAUAAGAACCUCAUCCAUGUCGCCCACGACCUUAUCCAGAAACUGUCGCCACGCACGAGCAACGUCCGCUCCACGUUCUUCAAAGAUUGCUUGUAUGAGGUCUUUGAUGACCUGGAGUCGAAAAUGGAAGAUGCCGGCAAGCAGCUCCUUCAGUCUGUGCUCCAUCUCAUGGAGAACGGUGCUCUUGUGCUCACCACAAACUUUGACAACCUCCUGGAAAUCUAUGCGGCAGACCAAGGGAAGCAGCUUGAGUCUCUGGAUCUCACUGAUGAGAAAAAGGUGCUAGAGUGGGCCCAGGAGAAGAGGAAACUCAGCGUCCUGCAUAUCCAUGGAGUGUACACAAACCCCAGUGGAAUUGUGCUCCAUCCCGCUGGGUACCAGAAUGUCCUCCGCAACACAGAAGUGAUGCGGGAGAUCCAGAAGCUGUAUGAAACCAAAUCAUUCCUGUUCCUGGGCUGUGGCUGGACUGUGGAUGAUACCACCUUUCAAGCCCUCUUCCUAGAAGCUGUGAAGCACAAAUCCGACCUGGAGCAUUUUAUGCUUGUGCGCCGAGGGGACGUGGACGAGUUUAAGAAGCUCCGGGAAAACAUGCUGGACAAAGGGAUUAAAGUGAUCUCCUACGGGAACGAAUACGCGGACUUGCCCGAAUAUUUUGAGAGGCUGGCAAAUGAGAUCUCCAGCCGGGGUCGAGCAGGUCCACCUUGGGAGGCACAGCUGAACGGCACAGCAGCGGCACACACUGAUGCCAAAGGUAUGGCGCUGACCUAAUACAUACAACUCACCAAGCCCAGUCUUGCUCACUAGCAGGCAUAAGUCAUUAUGCACUCGUCGCAUAAUAUGAUGCACCAAUUAGGCACUCACUCAAUCUCGGACAAGAGCUCAGGACUUGGUAUAGUGGAAGGUACCUUCCCGAAGGUGGGCGCUUCCUUCGUAAGCACUUUCCUGCUUCCAAAUGGCAUUGUGCAGGUUGCCUUUGCUGGGGCCAUAGCAGAAGCUUGGAGGAGAAGGCAAUGGCCUGUUCAAGGCUUUUUGUAAGAAACGUCCACGUCGUGCAAGGGUAGGAACAAUACAAUAAGGAGGCCAUCGCUUGGGGGCAGAGCAUCUGCUGUGCAUGCAGAAGGUCCCAGGUUUGGGCCUGGCACCAUCUCCAGGGACAGCUGGGAGAGACUCCUGCCAGUCAGUGUGGCCAAUACUGAGCUAAAUGGACCAAGGGUCUGGCUUCACAUAAAGCCCUUCCCAAUGUAAUUUUGAAUGUACCUUUUUAAACACCCCAGCCACCUCAUGGCACAGCGAGGAAGCAACCAGUCCAGAGAGCAGGAGGCUGUUCGCUCAAAUCCCCACUGGUGUGUUUCCCAGAGUACAGGAAACUCCUUUAUCGGGCAGCAGCGAUACAGGAAGGUGCUGAAAGGCAUCGUCUCAUACUGCACGGGAGAUGUCAAUAGUAAAUCCCUCCUGUAUGCUACCAAGAAAACCAGAUGGCUCUGUGGUCACCAGAAGUUGACACCGACUCGAUGGCACCACCUUUCCUCCCCCCCCCCCUUUUUGUCCAGAAACUGCAGCUUGUCAGCUCUCCCACCUUCUUAAUUAGCUCUUAGUUACCCUCUGUAGUUAUUUUAAGGAUUUUGUUAAGAAACCCGGUGUUAGGCUGUUUCCUGUUGCCUUCAGUUGCAAGGCCAGUGUCUACCUAGCUGUCUUAAACGCCGACACGAUGUAGGAGGCGGGAGUUGAAGGCACAUGGCAUUCCAUCAGAACAACACCGUGCAGGUUCGACAGGUGCAUCCUCCCGCUGACCAUUUAAGGCACGAUGCUGGAAGCUCCCAGUAAAGCAUGUGGCUCUCGAAAUCUCAUCAGGAGGGAAACUGCCGCAUUACCUUCCACACAGCUGGUUCUUUAAGAGUACCUGGCUUCUUUCCAGCUGCUGCUCCAACAUGUGACACGCAACUCCUUGACUUGAUGCUGCCCUUCUUGGACACAGAGGCUCGCCUGCAUCAAUGUCGUUUGGUUUUGUAUUUAAGGUUGUAGCUGCUGCAGGGAGAUCCAGCCCCUCCCAGAGAGAG